rnacentral:hammerhead_ribozyme from 2 species
AUCCAGCUGACGAGUCGUAAAUAGGACGAAACGCGCGUCCUGAAU